AAUCCAUCAAGCAAACUUCAACUUGCUGCGUGUACUUGCAGCUUUAUCAUCAGAGAAGUAAACUAUUGAGUCCUACUGUAUCAAAGGCACAUGUUCUUCAUGAAUAUCACCUUUUCCAACAUGGCUUUCUCAGAAUAGAAAGAGUGAGAAGAGAUGCAAAGACUCAAAAAGCCUGAGCAAGCACCUCCAAGCACCUCCAGCACUUGCACAGUGAGCCUGUGAUGAUUAGGUCAUAUGUCAGAGAUACUCAAGAUAUCUGUAAAAUAGUAGCCAUGCCUGCGUGCUAUCAAAUAAUUGGUCACGUCAAUCUAGAUAUUAGGAAACUUUGAAGAAUAUGACCCUCUUCCUCACAAGUCAAAGAGACAAGAAAAUGAUGCUCUGGAGCCCAUGUACCACACAUAUGGCAGUGCCUGGGAUCUCAUCACUGCAAAUAGCAGAGCUGUGAAAAGGCUAAUAAAAUUAAUGGUCUGUCUUCAUCACACUUGAGAGAAUUUGUAUAGGUGGCUCCUCGUCAAAA